rnacentral:rRNA from 1 species
CGGCGCACAUAAGACAUGCAAGUCGAACGGAAAUCGUACUAUUGAAGCGGAUGAAGAUUAUCAGAUGAAGUGGAAAUUGUAACAAUGAUUUAGUGGCGGACUGGUGAGUAACACGUAAGCAACCUUCCUAUUAGAGGGGAAUAACAGUGAGAAAUCAUUGCUAAUACCGCAUAAGCUUGUAGGAUCGCAUGAUCUAGCAAGAAAAGGAGCAAUCCGCUAAUAGAUGGGCUUGCGGCUGAUUAGCUAGUUGGUUAGGUAACGGCUGACCAAGGCGACGAUCAGUAGCCGGGCUGAGAGGCUCAUCGGCCACAUUGGGACUGAGAUACGGCCCAGACUCCUACGGGAGGCAGCAGUCGGGAAUAUUGCGCAAUGGAGGAAACUCUGACGCAGUGACGCCGCGUAUAGGAAGAAGGUUUUAGGAUUGUAAACUAUUUUAGACAGGGAAGAUAAAAGACGGUACCUGUAGAAUAAGCUCCGGCUAACUACGUGCCAGCAGCGGC